rnacentral:rRNA from 1 species
GACGAACGCUGGCGGCGUGCUUAACACAUGCAAGUCGAACGGAAAGGCCCUGCUUUUGUGGGGUGCUCGAGUGGCGAACGGGUGAGUAACACGUGAGUAACCUGCCCCUGACUUUGGGAUAACUUCAGGAAACUGGGGCUAAUACCGGAUAGGAGCUCCUGCUGCAUGGUGGGGGUUGGAAAGUUUCGGCGGUUGGGGAUGGACUCGCGGCUUAUCAGCUUGUUGGUGGGGUAGUGGCUUACCAAGGCUUUGACGGGUAGCCGGCCUGAGAGGGUGACCGGCCGCAUUGGGACUGGGAUACGGCCCGGACUCCUACGGGAGGCAGCAGUGGGGAAGAUUACACAAUGGGCGGAAGCCUGAUGCAGCAACGCCGCGUGCGGGAUGACGGCCUUCGGGUUGUAAACCACUUUCGCCUGUGACGAAGCGUGAGUGACGGUAAUGGGUAAAGAAGCACCGGCUAACUACGUG